UACGUAGGAGGCGAGCGUUGUCCGGAUUUACUGGGCGUAAAGAGCGUGUAGGCGGUUCGGUAGGUCCGUUGUGAAAACUCGAGGCUCAACCUCGAGACGCCGAUGGAAACCAUCGAACUAGAGUCCGGAAGAGGAGAGUGGAAUUCCUGGUGUAGCGGUGAAAUGCGCAGAUAUCAGGAAGAACACCCGUGGCUAAGGCGGCUCUCUAGUACGGUACUGACGCUGAGACGCGAAAGCGUGGGGAGCGAACAGG
rnacentral:rRNA from 1 species